rnacentral:rRNA from 1 species
AUUGAACGCUGGCGGCAUGCCUUACACAUGCAAGUCGAACGGUAACAGGUUAAGCUGACGAGUGGCGAACGGGUGAGUAAUGUAUCGGAACGUGCCCAGUCGUGGGGGAUAACUGCUCGAAAGAGCAGCUAAUACCGCAUACGACCUGAGAGUGAAAGCGGGGGAUCGCAAGACCUCGCGCGAUUGGAGCGGCCGAUAUCAGAUUAGGUAGUUGGUGAGGUAAAGGCGCACCAAGCCGACGAUCUGUAGCUGGUCUGAGAGGACGACCAGCCACACUGGGACUGAGACACGGCCCAGACUCCUACGGGAGGCAGCAGUGGGGAAUUUUGGACAAUGGGCGCAAGCCUGAUCCAGCCAUGCCGCGUGCGGGAAGAAGGCCUUCGGGUUGUAAACCGCUUUUGUCGGGGAAGAAAAGGUUCUGGCUAAUACCUGGGACUCAUGACGGUACCUGAAGAAUAAGCACCGGCUAACUACGUG